rnacentral:rRNA from 1 species
AUUGAACGCUGGCGGCAUGCUUUACACAUGCAAGUCGAACGGUAGCAGAAGAGAGCUUGCUCUCUUGCUGACGAGUGGCGAACGGGUGAGUAAUGUAUCGGAACGUACCAAGUAGUGGGGGAUAACUACUCGAAAGAGUGGCUAAUACCGCAUACGAUCUUAGGAUAAAAGCAGGGGACCUUAGGGCCUUGCGCUAUUUGAGCGGCCGAUAUCUGAUUAGCUAGUUGGUGGGGUAAGAGCCUACCAAGGCGACGAUCAGUAGCGGGUCUGAGAGGAUGAUCCGCCACACUGGGACUGAGACACGGCCCAGACUCCUACGGGAGGCAGCAGUAGGGAAUUUUCCACAAUGGACGGAAGUCUGAUGGAGCAACGCCGCGUGUGCGAAGAAGGUUUUCGGAUUGUAAAGCACUGUUGUAUGGGAAGAAUAAGGUAUAUAGGAAUGAUAUAUCGAUGACAGUACCAUACCAGAAAGCCACGGCUAAC